GGAACUGGCUUCAACUCAUGCAGAGGGUGCUAAAAGCGCCUCAAGCCUCCAGUAGUUGUGCAGAAGCAUCCUUUAGGAAAUGGAGCAAAUGAUUUCCCACAGGCCUGCUGCAAAAUCUGAACAUCAUCUGAAAGUACAAGAUUUUCUUCAGAAUCAGCUCCCCAGAAAAAGGGUACGCUCCCAUCAGCAUCAGCAGCUAUAAAUGUGGCAUUUGAACUGCUAUCAUAUAGAAUAAAAGCAUAUUUCCCUUGUAUAUCUCGGACAACCUGAUCAGCAGGAUAAGGUCCUCGAUCUCGGAGGGUUCUGUAAGCUUCAAUAACAAUGAUCACCUCAUUUGCUGUUUUAUUUAAGCCAUAUUGCUGCUUAAGAACUGCAACAUUCUCAAUGUUCCCUUGGAACAAGCAGAAAAUGUCGUCUACAACUGCAAAUAAUCUAGGAAGGAGAGGGUUUUGCUUGUCAAGGGAGUAAGCAAUAACACCAGCAGAGCCAAGAUUGACAGUAACAGAACCGGAGUGGACAGAGCCAAAAUGCUUGGCCAAAAACCCAUCUUUUAGAGCGGAAUUAGAGCCAGAAAGCGGGCUCUGCAGCGCCUCCGGGCACUUGGCCACCGUUUUGUCAAAGAUUGCCAACAUUUUCCGGUGAUUGUUUUGUAAAUAAUUGGUAUUCUGGUAUCCGUAAAACCAGAGAGACGAUAGAAGUUUGAGGUAGUUAUACGAGGUUGCGAGCACUUUAAUUUUUACUUCCAAUAUU
rnacentral:misc_RNA from 1 species